AUCAGUGAUGCCAGACUUCUGCAGAUGCAGAGAGCUGAAAGAGAGGCCAUGGAAGCAAAGCAAAGAAAGAUAAGUGCUAUCCAUGAGAAUUAUGUCCGGACUGCUCUCAUCGGGGUUGGCAGCACCUUCGCGCACCACUUCGUCCCCUCUAUUCAGUGCAUUCCGCGGCCGAAAGCUCCACCGAGGCCUUUGCCACGAAGGCUUGAGCACAUAGCUCUGGCCCCACUGAAGAACGUGGUGGGGGUGGACGGAGCCCAAGUUCGACCCGGAUCUCACUCUCUGGAGUCCAUCCAGGUAAAUAAGUCAUUCAGCAGCAGUAGCGUGUGGCCUGUUCCCGUCCCUCCCACUGCAGCUCCCUCCAAGAGGGGAAAGAAGAAGAAGGGCAGGCGGGGAGUCAAAGCCCUGAAAGUCCAGUCGGACCAGGGCUGUGCUGACAACAACGGACCCAUUGACCUGAUGGAGGAGGUGAGGGACAUCGAGGCUCACCUGAAGGAGGAGGACUGGAAGGUGGUACAUGAGGUGAAGGCCAUGGGCAGGAGAAGUUUGGGCUCGGUCAUGUCCACGGGGGAAAUAGCAACCAGCUCUCUGGGAAGCCUGAGCUCAGUGGAUAUGAACACCCCUGCGGAGCUCCGUGACUACUUGGAUGUCGGGACCCCGGUCAAGUCGCUUGACAGCCCACCCAGGCCUGCUCCCCCUCCUACCAAGCCCAGGAGCAAACAGCCUCGGCCUAUAAGGUUCCUUAGCCUGCCAAAGGCUGCCACCGGCUCAGACAAGAUGGCAGCCAGUGAGCCAAAGGGUCAAAUUAAGAACCAGGCCAGAUUGCAGCCCCUGUCCAACCCAGAGCAGGCCCUGACUAAGACCUUCAAGCUGCUCCACUCUGCCUCUGAUGACUGGGAGAAGAAGAUCGAGGGCUUGACCACUCUCCGUGUGAUGGCUCAGAACCACAUGGACAUACUGAUGCCUAAACUCCAUGAUAUCUGCCUUGCCAUUAUAAAUGAGGUGAAGAACCUGCGCUCUGCAGUGUCCUGUGCUGCCAUGGCCACACUGGGUGACAUGUACGUGCACCUCCAGAGGGCCAUGGACAGUGAGGUGGAGGGGACGGCACGCGUGCUGCUGCACAAAGCCAGCGAGGCCAACGCCUUCAUCCGGCAGGGCGCCAACUUUGCCCUGGGUCACAUGGUGCAGAGCUGCACCCCUACACGUGUCAUGAAUGCCCUGCUGGUCGGUGGGCUGAGCCACCGUAACGCUGCGGUGAGGAGCUGCACUGCUCAGCACCUGGAGAGACUGGCUGAGGUCAUGGGGACGGCUCGUCUCCUGUCGGGGAAGAAAGACCUCACUGACCGUUUCUUGAUUGCCGUCAGUAAACUGGCUGUGGACCCUUCACAGGAAGUCAGGCAUCAUGGUCGCAAUAUCUUGAGCAACAUGGCCACCAAUGGCGACUUUCCUAAAAUGUGGGACAAAUUCGCUCCGAGGAAAGAGAGAGAAUCCUUGAGGGAGGUCAUCUCGAAGGUUAACCUCAAAGAAAGGUACAUUCUCUCUGGAUGAUUAGAAGAAGUGUAACAAAUGAGCUGAUAUGAUUACAGAAAUCCAAUCCCACUGGGCACAGAAAUCAGAUCCAUGUCUAGUUUGAUUUAAAUUUGGGAAAUCAACCAAAAAUGCUGGUUAAAAGUUGGGUGAAUAAAAUCCAAUUGAGUUUUCAGCGUUGAUUCACCGUCAUCACAUAGAUUUUCUUGUUGUUGAAAUGAGGUGGAAAAGUUUAUUCAACCAGUUUUGGCCCAAAGGGAUGAAUUUAAUAUACUUGUCACAACUCUUACCGAAGGUGGCUCCCCUUCCCGUUCGGGUGGCGCUCGGCGGUCGUCAUCACCGGCCUACUAGCUGCCACUGAUUCUUUCCUCCCCCUCCUUGUCUGUUUAUUGGUUACACCUGUUGUGUAUUUGCUGAUUAGUUGGGCUUUAUUAGCCAGCCGGCCCGCCUGCUCUUUGUGCGGGAUUGUUUUGUGUAACUUGUGUGCACGUCUGUGGGUUACAUGUUUCCCAUUUCGUGGGUUUUGCUGGACAGUUUAAGUCCCUGUGUUUUCGUGGGGUUGGCUUAUGUUCGCCGUUUUGUGCAUUAAAUUAGCACUACCCUGAACUCUCUGCUUCCUGCGCCUGACUUCUCACCCACUACACCCAGAACGUUACAAUACUGUAAGAUUAUAUCUUUCUGUCUUUUCUCUUUUUCAACAGGAAUAUCUGAAUCAUCCCCAACUUGACUAUAUAUUUGUAUCUAAAUAUUUGCACAUUUCCCAACUUGACUAUUAUCCCCUCCAGCCCCCAAACUCCAAUAUUUUCUCUCAUUCUAAGAAAUUUGACACUAUCAUCCAACCCCCAUGUAAAUGCAUCUUUAAACUGCAUUGACUCCUUGUCCAAGUUCUGAAUCCACUAUUAGGCCAUAUGAACCACAUUCAAAGCACUAAAUUACCUUUCCUCGAAGCUCCUAUCUGAUCUACCAGCUCAAUAGUGGUCUACUGAAACCAUACUCACCAUCUCAGGGGGUGCAAAGACCAUCAACCACUGACCUCCACACCAUCCUCAAAACCAGCAGUCCUCUUUUGGAGACAGAUUGGUCAGUGCUCCUGUAUGGCACCAACAUUGUGGAUUUUCAUCCAAUACUUCUGGACUAUGGGAACAUUCUUUGGACAAUAAAAUGAGGACCUGAGCCCUAGGACCAUGCCUCAACUCUCUAGAGACAGCAGGAGUGACCCCACACUCAUCGCUAGAGAUCGAACUUCAGACUCGCUCCAAAACCACUGAACCCCUCAACACACCGAAAGAGAUUACGAUAUACCCCCUUAGAGUGAGCCGGAACAGGAUAACUCCCUCCACCAUCACAAAGACACAGAGGAGGAGGAACUAUCCAACACCCAGGGAGAGAGAACGAGUGACCUCAGUCGAACACAGCCAGAAAGAGGAGGUGGAAGAGGUGUUAGAUAGAGGAUGUGAGCAAGAAAGAGCAGAAGGCUUCUGGUCAGCCAAAUGGCAGGCAGAGGGAGAGGUCAUAGUGAUUCACACCCACAGAGAGAAAGACAACCCACACAACCUCUUGGUUGAGAUGAACCGCACAGCGUUAGAGGCAGAGGGCUUUCAGCGCUAGCCAGUCAGCCUGCCUGCUCUGAUCCUCAAGUCAAUUGUAUUUAAAUUCAUGUUCAUUAAAGAUUUUUAUUCAAGAAUUGAAAAGUCCCAUUUACUUAAUGAUCAUUUUUCACUGUCUUCAACCCUCAAGAACCAGGGUUAGUCUGGGUCACCCUUUUACUGGGCAAACACAACUUGCAUAUCAUCAUAGACUAGGCCGAAACGUUAAUCUUUUAACCUUGCCUGAAUAAAACAAUGCAUUGUUUUUAUAGUGAGCAAGAGUUGCGCUUUUUCCUUUUCUAUGAUGAUGAUCACAUUUUUGGUUGCACCUCAACUCAACGUUGGUUGAGCGCCCUCUGUUUUUUUGUUGUCAAAUAAUACAUAUAUUUUUUAAUGUACAAAGUCAAUUAUUCAAAGCAUUAAAAUUGUAAUGUUUCCAACUUAUUUAUACAACCUACUCCACACUUACAAAGUGAAAGUUUAUAGAAAUUCUGAAAUUAAGUAGUAAACAAGAAAAGCAGAAUUGAGUCCAAUUAUAAUGCAAAUAAUUUAAUGGUCUAUGGUUCAAUCCCAUUUCUGAAGGUCUGAUGAAUAAUUAAUAUUGUUCCUCCUCUUCCUUGUGGCAGGCGCAGCAGCACACUGCCCUCCAAAGCCUGCAAAAUAAUCGCUCGACUGCCCCUUUCCUAGCUCUGCAUGGAACAUCCAGUGUCACAUCCUUGGUGACGUGUGGGGUGACAUCCGGGAUGACCACAGCAACAUCCUCUGGAAAGGGAAAAAAGAGGAUCAGGAUGUAAACAAAUGCAAACCGUAGCUUCUUAACACUGUCCAGUUGAAAGGUUCUGCUAAGAUGUCAUGACAAACGGCACCUGUCAGAGUGCUCUCUAAGUGUUACUCACCUGCUUGGAUGUCAGCUGGCAGAGUGUCGAAGACGGCCAUCGUGAGAGUCCUUUCUUCAGGUGUGACAUGCUCAAUCGAUCCUAUUUAUUUGUACUGAAAUUUGAUCUUUUUUUUUCUCUGCUGCUACUCGUGUUUUACAGAAACACGUUUGAGUGGGUUUUCUACAGUCUGGCGCAUGUUGACACAAGAUGGAGAAUGCAUAUGCUGCAAACCAGCACAACUAUCACGCAUCAACUAUAGACGAGUUUCACUCACUACUGCAGUUUGGAGUUAGGUUGAUGUUAGAGGCUACUGGAGGAAGUUAUGGGGCAUACUUGAACUCUUUAAGGGAACAUGAACCUUUCUACUCCUGCAAAUUAUGACUAAUAACCCUAAUCAAAUUUUACGAGAUGGGUUUUUGAAUGCAGUACUGUAUUUUCAUUGAAAUGGCAGAUUUGUAUGAUUUCACACAAAAAAAUGUAUGUAAUGCUUCCCACAAAGAAAUUAUUUUACUAUUUUGUUUCAAAUGGUCCCUCUGGCAUGCAUAUUUCUGUAUGAUUUAACACAUGUUUGAAUCCCACUUCCUUGAUAUUUUUAAGUUAAUUUUAGUCCUCCUCCUUGCAUGUUUUGUUCCAUACCUGUGCCUUGGAGAAAACAACUAUAGCCCUCCAAGUCUAAUACGCUAUACACAACAGCAGCCUACAGUGUUAACUUAUUGAGAAUGUAUAUCAUUGUAUUUAACAUUCAAACCUCUUUUGAACUCUUCAGAUCUUAACCGGAUCAAACUGGAAUGUUAAUAUAUUACCCUAAGUCAAACUGGUUUUGGUGUCUUAGACACAAAAGGUUGUUUUCUCCUCAUAGUAAAAACACUGUUUCAUGGUUUGGAUUAAAAACACUGGGUAUUUGUUACGUA